GACCUCGCAGAUGCCAAUGUUGUGUGCAAGCAAGGGGGCUGUGGAGCUGCUGUGUCUGCCCUGGGCGAGGCCUCUUUUGGGGUGGGGACUGGCCCCAUCUGGCUGGACAAGGUGAACUGCAAGGGAACAGGGUCGUCUCUGUGGAACUGUUGUGCCGAGCCCUGGGGAAACAGUAGAUGCCAGCAUAAGGAAGAUGCUGCUGUGAUCUGCACCCAUGGGACAGAGGCCACUGCAUCCCCACAGAAAACAGAAACACCUCGGCGCCCAUCUCUAACAGGGGGGAGAGACAUGGUGCCCAUUGUCAUCUGCAUUGUCCUGGGGUCCCUUCUCUGUCUCGUCCUGAUCAUUCUGGGGGGAAAGGUGAGAAACACCAGGGCACUGCA